rnacentral:rRNA from 2 species
GCAUAUCAAUAAGCGGAGGAAAAGAAACCAACAGGGAUUGCCCUAGUAACGGCGAGUGAAGCGGCAACAGCUCAAAUUUGAAAUCUGGCUCCUUUGGGGUCCGAGUUGUAAUUUGCAGAGGGUGCUUUGGCAUCGGCGGCGGUCUAAGUUCCUUGGAACAGGACAUCGCAGAGGGUGAGAAUCCCGUACGUGGGCGCCUGCCUUUGCCGUGUAAAGCCCCUUCGACGAGUCGAGUUGUUUGGGAAUGCAGCUCUAAAUGGGAGGUAAAUUUCUUCUAAAGCUAAAUACCGGCCAGAGACCGAUAGCGCACAAGUAGAGUGAUCGAAAGAUGAAAAGUACUUUGGAAAGAGAGUCAAAUAGCACGUGAAAUUGUUGAAAGGGAAGCGCUUGCAGCCAGACUUGCCCGCAGUUGCUCACCCAGGCUCCGGCCUGGGGCACUCUUCUGCGGGCAGGCCAGCAUCAGUUUGGGCGGUUGGAUAAAGGCCUCUGUCACGUAUCUCCCUUCGGGGUGACCUUAUAGGGGAGGCGCAAUGCAACCAGCCCGGACUGAGGUCCGCGCAUCUGCUAGGAUGCUGGCGUAAUGGCUGUAAGCGGCCCGUCUUGAAACACGGACCAAGGAGUCUAACAUCUAUGCGAGUGUUUGGGUGUCAAGCCCGGGCGCGUAAUGAAAGUGAACGGAGGUGGGAACCCUUUGGGUGCACCAUCGACCGAUCCUGAUGUCUUCGGAUGGAUUUGAGUAAGAGCAUAGCUGUUGGGACCCGAAAGAUGGUGAACUAUGCUUGAAUAGGGUGAAGCCAGAGGAAACUCUGGUGGAGGCUCGCAGCGGUUCUGACGUGCAAAUCGAUCGUCAAAUUUGGGCAUAGGGGCGAAAGACUAAUCGAACCAUCUAGUAGCUGGUUCCUGCCGA